AUACUAAUUUAUUAAAAAGAAAAUGGGGGAACAUAGGGCCUAAUUUUGAAAAAAAACAUAGAAAUGUGGGAACAUAGGCAUGUGGGAACAUAGGCAAGCUCUCGUAACGGCAGCUGAG